rnacentral:rRNA from 1 species
CAGUAGCCACGGUAAUACAAAGGGUGCAAGCGUUAAUCGGAAUUACUGGGCGUAAAGCGCGCGUAGGUGGUUUGUUAAGUUGGAUGUGAAAGCCCCGGGCUCAACCUGGGAACUGCAUCCAAAACUGGCAAGCUAGAGUACGGUAGAGGGUGGUGGAAUUUCCUGUGUAGCGGUGAAAUGCGUAGAUAUAGGAAGGAACACCAGUGGCGAAGGCGACCACCUGGACUGAUACUGACACUGAGGUGCGAAAGCGUGGGGAGCAAACAGGAUUAGAGACCCCAGUAGUCCCUGUCUCUUAUAC